UGUCGCUCACCUUGGUCUAUGUGAAUAUUAAACAAAGGAAGCAGAUGGAUUCAUGACAAAAUUGUGUUUUGGUGAUGGUGAUGUGUUUGUACGUCCUACUUUACUGAACAUUUUUGCUGCUUACAGUUAUCUCUAUCUAUAAUGAACUUGGCUCAGUAGUUUCAGUGGAAAAUGUUAGUAAAAAUUUACAAAUUUUAUGAAAAUUGUUAAAAAUUGACUAUAAAGAACAAUAACUCCUUAGGGGGUCAAUUGUCCAUUUCAG
rnacentral:lncRNA from 1 species